rnacentral:lncRNA from 1 species
GCUUUUUGCUAUUUGUUUGUUGUUUUCUCACCGAGAAAGAUCAGAAAGUGUUGUGAUAAUGCUUGCCAUUUAGGGGGCAGGGCCGUUCCUACAUUUUUGAAAAUCCUAAGCGAACUAUGAAGUGGGGGCCCUAACUUCGUCGAUAAACUCUCCUCCAAUCCCGAGCCAUGGGUGAUUACCCUUACGUUUUCAUCUAGUGAUAGCCAGCCUAGAAACUUGGCUUUUUUUGCUAAAUAAUAUUUAUUUUGGGUUCCUUCCAUGAAAAACCAGUUUAGUUUUGAAAUAAAUGUAUUUAUUUGGGCUUGGAAGCCCUUAUUUUUUGGUCGCCCUAGGCCCGUGCCUAGGUUGCCAAGCCUAUGGAGCCGGCCCUAUUAGGGGGGACGGGUCGCCCCGUUAUGGCUCAACUUUGACGCGUGGACCGACGUGAAACACAGCCGCCGGUGCCAACUUUGAAGCGUGGUGAAAAUUUAGCGUGAUGAUGAGCAGCGUGGAGAAAGAAAUGAAAGCAGAGGAAGUAUUGAUCCGAUCUUUAUUAUUCUUGCUGAGCUCCAUUGUUGCAACAACAACAGCAAGACCCCCAAACACUAUCAAGUAAAAAAGCUCCAUUGUUGUUGAUUCUGAUCUAAAAUUGGAUUAAGAUUAAGAUUAAGAUUUCGAUCUCGAUCUGGGUAUUUUGGGAGAGUGUGAAUGGAAAAAGGGUAGACCAGAAAGCAGAGAUCUUGGAUAAGUACAAAGGGUGUCGGUGAAGGAUAAUUAUGGUGAUCUCGUCAUGCUAAGGGAGGAUCUCAUACUCGAUCACCAAAAAUAGCAAUAUUAAAGUGUUCUAAUAGUGGACUAAAUUACCUUCAUAAGGACUUCAUAAGGAUGUUAACAACAAACAAUGGGGCUUCAAUCGUAACAUCAAGAGCUCUAACAAUUGCCUACGUAAGUAUCUUUAAUGUUUAAUAUUUUACCAUUUUUAUUUUGUGCAUAGUUGUCAAAGGCAUGAGAUGCACUUAAGGUUCAAAGGCCUCACUGGGAGCCUAGGCACACGUCCGAGAAAAAAACAAUAUAUAUAUGGGAUGGUUCAUAUGAGAACCGGCUUGAGUUGAGAGAACUCGUAGGAACUCGACUUCUAUUUUUUUCACCAAAUAUCAUUUUUUUUUAAAAUAGCUUUUCAAGGGAAAAAUUUUUCCUUGCCACUUUUUUACAGUGGCAGUUUCACCCCCCCCCCCCCCCCCAGGCGUUAUAGUGAUUUAUGUUGGGGCAAUGAUUCUUACAUGUGGCAAAAAAUUGACUCGUGAUUUUUUUUGGACUUUCUUUCAUAGAGGGGCUUGUUUUGGUUAUUAGACAUCUAUAUAAUUCCGUUAUUAUACAUAUGUAAACUUCAUUUAACAUGUAGGAAAUCAUAAAAAUACAUAUAAUAAAUAAUGAAAGUACCCUAAAUAUAAAAUAUAUCUAUAAAAUGAUUGUUUGUUAAGAGUUUUAAAAGUUCUGCAAUUAGUUAGCGUUCUGAAAUAAUCCUUACCCUUAUAUAUAUAUAUGGGAGGGUUAUCUUGAGAACACCCAAUUUUGUGUGAACAUUAGGAACAAUUUUCAUCCAUAGAUCAUCCUAAAUUAAGGGCUAAGAUUAGAUGGACUAAAUUAAGGGCUAAAUUAAAACAUAAAGGGUAUUAUUGUCAAAAGUUAAAACACAAAACCCCCAAUCAAAUUCCCUCCCCAAAUCCCCAAACGACGCAACGAGCAUUUCUAUCUUCUCCUUCAAGAAAUCGAAAACCAUCCAUCUCCCUCAGCAAAUCGUCGACAACAGAAGCAUCACCGUUCGCAGCCGUAAGCACUGUCGUUCGCAGCCAUUAACACCGUUCGCAUUCAGUGCUUUUGGAAGUCUAAUUGUAUUGUUAUUAGAAGAUUCUAGAGAAAAAAAGGAAGAAUGGUCGGAAAAGUCCACGAAUAUUAAGGAUUAAAGCAAAAAGUUUCUCAAAUACGAUAACAAAUCCAGACAUACUUGAUGACGAGAGUUCUGAGAACAAUGAAGAAAUAGAUUUUGAAGUGUCAUUGAAUGUGGAUCGAGUUAAUACAUUAUCAGAAAUGGAUGCUGAACUAGAAAGACAAUUAGUUCAACGAAUCUGAAGAUGGUUUUAAGAAGACAAAGGAAUGAGAUGAUGAAAGAAAUGCUUGCAGAAGAAAAAAAGGGAAAAACAGAUGGUGAAAAAGAUUACUGAAAAACAGACAAAUAAACUCGAAGUUGCCACAUGUGAAGGCAAAAAGAGGAAAACAAAAGAAGCGAUUACAA